UACGGGAGGCAGCAGUGGGGAAUAUUGCACAAUGGGCGAAAGCCUGAUGCAGCGACGCCGCGUGAGGGAUGACGGCCUUCGGGUUGUAAACCUCUUUCAGCAGGGAAGAAGCGCAAGUGACGGUACCUGCAGAAGAAGCGCCGGCUAACUACGUGCCAGCAGCCGCGGUAAUACGUAGGGCGCAAGCGUUGUCCGGAAUUAUUGGGCGUAAAGAGCUCGUAGGCGGCUUGUUGCGUCGGAUGUGAAAGCCCGGGGCUUAACCCCGGGUCUGCAUUCGAUACGGGCAGGCUAGAGUUCGGUAGGGGAGAUCGGAAUUCCUGGUGUAGCGGUGAAAUGCGCAGAUAUCAGGAGGAACACCGGUGGCGAAGGCGGAUCUCUGGGCCGAUACUGACGCUGAGGAGCGAAAGCGUGGGGAGCGAACAGGAUUAGAUACCCUGGUAGUCCACGCCGUAAACGUUGGGAACUAGGUGUGGGCGACAUUCCACGUCGUCCGUGCCGCAGCUAACGCAUUAAGUUCCCCGCCUGGGGAGUACGGCCGCAAGGCUAAAACUCAAAGGAAUUGACGGGGGCCCGCACAAGCAGCGGAGCAUGUGGCUUAAUUCGACGCAACGCGAAGAACCUUACCAAGGCUUGACAUACACCGGAAACGGCCAGAGAUGGUCGCCCCCUUGUGGUCGGUGUACAGGUGGUGCAUGGC
rnacentral:rRNA from 1 species